AUUAUUCUCUGCUUCAAAAAUUGGUGAACAAUUUCUUUCCAGACUUCACAAUGUACAUGAGCAAAACUUCUACAGCCAACUGUGAAAUAUGACCAACUGUUCCGAAAGCUUAAACACUUUCAUCGAGUCGCAAAAUGCUGUACAAAAUUGUGGAAUAUUGUCAACUGUAUUCGUCGUAGGCGUUGUAUUUGCAGGGGCUUUCUUUGGACUGCUGAUUGGUAUUUUCUUUGGUAGGAAAUGUCAUUCUAAUACCGAAAGAAUCCAAUCGGCAAACGGACAGAAAACCCACACAUAUGAGGAAGAAAUGCGAUUCCGGUAUCACAAUUACCAGGACAUGAAUAGGCGGUGCUCACAAACAUCUGGAAAUAGCAUGGACAAUAUCGGCAUGUAUGAAUCUAUAGAAGAGGUUGAAAUUCUCCCCAAUGAUAUCAGAGCGGAAGUGGAAUCUAUAGGAGAGAUUGAAAUUCUUCCCAAGGAUAUCAAAGCGGAAAUGGUUCAGGACACCCUAUCGUUUAAUACGAAGCUAUGAGAAUCUAACCGUGGGAAACAUUGUUAUUUUGAUCAAUGUCAUUUAACACAUACUACAUUUAUACUUUCCUUGCUUAGGUGUGUACAGAUUUUAUGUAACGAUCUUAUCGUCCUUGAUUACGUGUGUACAGAUUUUAUUUAACGGUCUUAUCUUUCCUUGAUUACGUGUGUACAGAUUUUGUGGCCUUCAAUUCAACAUUUAGAUAUAUCGACGACGUUUUAUAUAAUAACAAUAAUAACCUUCAUUCAUAUGUCGAUUCGAUAGGUGUAUAUCCCUGUGAACUCCAAUGAAAAGACACCACAGAGUCGUACAUUUCUGCUUCAUACUUAGAUAUUUUAUUGAAAGUAGAUACUAACUGCAAAUUAACUACCCAACUUUAUGACAAACAGGAAGAUUUCAGCUUCUCCUUCGUCACUUCCCAUAUUUAUGUAGCAAUAUUCCGUUAACACCUGCAUAUAGUGUUUAUAUCUCUCAACUGAUACGCAAGAACUUGUUCUGUGUAUGGUCAGUUUUUAAAUCAAGGCAGGCUACUGACAAACAAGUUGAUGGUGCAGGGGUUUCAACAGUCUCGUUUAUAGUCAUCAUUUCACAAAUUCUAUGGUCGUUAUAACGAUCUAGUUUGCCAAUACAACCAUCAUUGGGUACAAUGCUGUUUGACGUGUUACAACCCGUUGUUAGAGCGUUCUUGGUACAUUGAUUUGGACUACGGAUAACUCCCGUUUCCCUGAUCAAGGUAUAGGGCUUGCGGCGGAUGUGACCGGUCGACAGGGGAUGCUUACUCCUUUGGUGUGUCCAAUUCGCUAUUUUGUAUUGCUUAUAGGAGUUCUGAGAUUGACCACUGUUCGUUAUCUUCAACUUCCAUUUAACAAUAUUAUCUUUUUUCAUGAGUUGUGUAGCCUCCGCAACCGAGUGGUUAGAGCAUCGCGCUCAAAAUCACAUGGCCUCUCACCUCUAGUAGGCGCGCCUCUCUCCGGGUUCAAAUCCCGCUCGCGCCUGUAAAUGAGAAAGUCUCCCACUUUACUUUCGGAACAUAGUGUCUGGGUUCUCUCUUCCAACAAUUAAAACUGGGUGCCACAAUAAAACUGAAAAAUUGUUGAGUGUGGCGAAAAACAGCAAAACAAACAAUCAAUCAAUUGAUUAGUUGUGUAUAGUGUAUAGUUUGAUACACUAUACUAUAUAGUUGUGUAUAGAUAUUAUUUGAUAAUUUUAUGUCCCUUGAUUAUUGUGUAAAGAUCGUAUUUGGGAAUCUUAUCUCCCCUGAUUAGGUGUGUAGAUAUCUUAUUUAACAAUCUUCUCUCCCCUGAUUAGUUGUGUAUACUGUUUAUCUUAUUUAACAAUGUCCUCUCCCCUGAUUAGGUGUGUAUAUAUGUAAAACUUAUACGGUACCAAUUUUGAUUCACCAGAUGCACAUUUCGACAAAUAAUGUCUCUUCAGUGAUGCUCAACCAAAAUGUUUGAAAUCCGAAAUAACAAUGAAGUUUUAGAGCUAUUAUAGCCAAAAACAGCGUGCCAAAAAAAGUGCAGUCAAUUUCGUUUAAGGAUAAGAGCUAUGCAUGAGGGAGAUAAUCCUUAAUUAUCUUAUUUAACAAUCUCCUCUCCCUUGAUUCUCUUUCCUGAUUAGGUAAAACUUAUACGGUACCAAUUUUGAUGCACCAGAUGCGCAUUUCGACAAAUAAUGUCUUUUCAGUGAUGCUCAACCGAACUGUUUGAAAUCCGAAAUAACUAUGAAGCGUUAGAGCUAAAUAUAGCCAAAAACAGCGUGCCAAAAAAGUGGAGCCAAAUUCAUCCAAGGAUAAGAGCUAUGCAUGAGGGAGAUAAUCCUUAAUUUUGAAACGAAUUUCUAAAUUUUAUAACAGCAAUUAAAUAUACAUCCAUAUUUUCAAGCUAGUAACGAAGUACUUAGCUACUGGGCUGUAGAGACCCUAGGUGUGUACAUAUAUUAUUUAACAAUCUUCUCUCCCCUGAUUAGGUGUGUAUAUAUCUUAUUUAACAAUCUCCUCUCCCCUGAUUAGGUGUGUACAUAUCUUAUUUAACUAUCUUCUCUCCCCUUAUUAGAUGUGUAUAUAUCUCAUUUUACAAUCUCCUCUCCCCUGACUAGGUGUCUACAUAUUUUAUUUAACAAUCUUCUCUCCCCUGAUUAGGUGUGUAUAUAUUUUACUUAACAAUCUCCUCUCCCCUGAUUAGGUGUGUACAUAUAUUUUAUUUAACAAUCUUCUCUCCCCUAAUUAGGUGUGUAUAUAUCUUAUUUAACAAUCUCCUCCCCCCUGAUUAGGUGUGUACAUAUAUUAUUUAACAAUCUUCUCUCCCCUGAUUAGUUGUGUAAAUAUCUUAUUUAACAAUCUGCUCCCCCCCUGAUUAGGUGUCUACAUAUUUUAUUUAACAAUCUUCUCUCCCCUGAUUAGGUGUGUAUAUAUUUUACUUAACAAUCUCCUCUCCCCUGAUUAGGUGUGUACAUAUAUUAUUUAACAAUCUUCUCUCCCCUGAUUAGUUGUGUAAAUAUCUUAUUUAACAAUUUCCUCUCCCCUGAUUAGGUGUGUAGAUAUCUUAUUUAACAAUCUUCUCUCCCCUGAUUAGUUGUGUAUACUGUUUAUCUUAUUUAACAAUGUCCUCUCCCCUGAUUAGGUGUGUAUAUAUGUAAAACUUAUACGGUACCAAUUUUGAUGCACCAGAUGCGCAUUUCGACAAAUAAUGUCUUUUCAGUGACGCUCAACCGAACUGUUUGAAAUCCGAAAUAACUAUGAAGCGUUAGAGCUAAAUAUAGCCAAAAACAGCGUGCCAAAAAAGUGGAGCCAAAUUCAUCCAAGGAUAAGAGCUCUGCAUGAGGGAGAUAAUCCUUAAUUUUGAAACGAAUUUCUAAAUUUUAUAACAGCAAUUAAAUAUACAUCCGUAUUUUCAAGCUAGUAACGAAGUACUUAGCUACUGGGCUGUAGAGACCCUAGGUGUGUACAUAUAUUAUUUAACAAUCUUCUCUCCCCUGAUUAGGUGUGUAUAUAUCUUAUUUAACAAUCUCCUCUCCCCUGAUUAGGUGUGUACAUAUCUUAUUUAACUAUCUUCUCUCCCCUGAUUAGAUGUGUAUAUAUCUCAUUUAACAAUCUCCUCUCCCCUGACUAGGUGUGUACAUAUAUUUUAUUUAACAAUCUUCUCUCCCCUAAUUAGGUGUGUAUAUAUCUUAUUUAACAAUCUCCUCCCCCCUGAUUAGGUGUGUACAUAUAUUAUUUAACAAUCUUCUCUCCCCUGAUUAGUUGUGUAAAUAUCUUAUUUAACAAUCUCCUCCCCCCUGAUUAGGUGUCUACAUAUUUUAUUUAACAAUCUUCUCUCCCCUGAUUAGGUGUGUAUAUAUUUUACUUAACAAUCUCCUCUCCCCUGAUUAGGUGUGUACAUAUCUUAUUUAACAAUUUUCUCUCCCCUGAUUAGUUGUGUAUACUGUAUAUCUUAUUUAUCAAUCGUAUCUCCCCUGAUUAGGUGUGUACAUAUCUUCUUUAACAAUCUCCUCUCCCCUGAUUAGGUGUGUACAUAUCUUAUUUAACAAUCUUAUCACCCCUGAUUAGGUAUGUACAUAUCUUAUUUAACAAUCUUAUCUCCCUUGAUUAGGUGUGUACAGCUUCAUCUCCAUUUGUACUGCAACAUGUUGAACAAACCUUAAACUAUCAUUUAAACAUUGAAUGCUUUAAUAGACAAUGAAUAUUCGUUCGUUAUUCAUUCUCGUGGGUUUUAAAAUUUACCAGGUGCCAGUUAAGAAUGUAAAUUUCAUUUAUGAAAAUGCAUGAGAAUAUGAACUGCGAUGCUUACGCCCAGCAUACAUGUACUUCACAAAGCAUUGACGCUUCAUGAAAAAGAGUUUGUCAGCAUGAACCUG